rnacentral:rRNA from 1 species
AGUUACCAGCACGUUAUGGUGGGCACUCUAAGGAGACUGCCGGUGACAACCGAGGAAGUGGGGAUGACGUCAAGUCAUCAUGGCCCUUACGGCCUGGGCUACACACGUGCUACAAUGGUCGGUACAAAGGGUUGCCAAGCCGCGAGGUGGAGCUAAUCCCAUAAAACCGAUCGUAGUCCGGAUCGCAGUCUGCAACUCGACUGCGUGAAGUCGGAAUCGCUAGUAAUCGUGAAUCAGAAUGUCACGGUGAAUACGUUCCCGGGCCUU